rnacentral:rRNA from 1 species
UACGAAGGUGGCAAGCGUUACUCGGAAUUACUAGGCGUAAAGGGCAGGUAGGUGGUUCGGUUAGUCUGUUGUGAAAGCUCCCUGCUUAACGGGGAGAGGCCAACAGAUACUGCCGAGCUUGAGUAUAGGAGAGGGUACUGGAAUUCCCGGUGUAGCGGUGAAAUGCGCAGAGAUCGGGAGGAACACCAAUGGCGAAAGCAGGUACCUGGACUAUUACUGACACUCAGCUGCGAAAGCUAGGGGAGCAAACAGG